AAAAGCUGGGUUGAGAGGGCGA
rnacentral:miRNA from 22 species